rnacentral:lncRNA from 1 species
UUUCUUUUCCAAAUCUCUCGUCCCACCUUACGAGAAACACCCACAGGUGUGUAGGGGCAACCCACCCCUACAUCUGGUGCCCAACGUGGAGGCUUUUCUCUAGGGUGAAGGUACGCUCGAGCGUGGUCAUUGAGGACAAGUCGACGAGAGAUCCCGAGUACAUCUACAGUCAGCCUUACGUCUGCAGGUGUACCCAACAGCUCCGAAGAGACAGCGACCAUCGAGAACGGGCCAUGAUGACGAUGGCGGUUUUGUCGAAAAGAAAAGGGGGAAAUGUGGGGAAAAGCAAGAGAGA